GACGAACGCUGGCGGCGUGCUUAACACAUGCAAGUCGAACGGUGACGAGGAGCUUGCUCCUCUGAUCAGUGGCGAACGGGUGAGUAACACGUGAGCAACCUGCCCAGGCUCUGGGAUAACAGUUGGAAACAGCUGCUAAUACCGGAUACGAGACGGAGAGGCAUCUCUACCGUCUGGAAAGUUUUUCGGUCUGGGAUGGACUCGCGGCCUAUCAGCUAGUUGGUGAGGUAACGGCUCACCAAGCCGAAGACGGGUAACCGGUCUGAGAGGAUGUCCGGUCACACUGGGACUGAGACACGGCCCAGACUCCUACGGGAGGCAGCAGCAGGGAAUCUUGGGCAAUGGGCGAAAGCCUGACCCAGCGACGCCGCGUGGAGGAAGAAGUCCUCGGGCGUAACUACCUGGACUGGGGACGGAGGAAGGACGGUACCCCGACGUAGAAAGGAACGGCGUAACUACGUGCCAGCAGCCGCGGUAAGUGCUACGUAGA
rnacentral:rRNA from 1 species